GAUGAACGCUGGCGGCGUGCCUAAUACAUGCAAGUCGAGCGAACGGACGAUAAGCUUGCUUCUCUGUUGUUUGCCGCGGACGGGUGAGACACACGAGUAUAACCUACCUAUAAGACUGGUAUAACUUGGGGACACCGGAUCUAAUAGCAUAUAAUCUUCUGAACCGCAUGGUUCAAAAGAGAAAUUCGGUCUUGCUGGCUGUUCUAGAGGGAUCUGGGCUUCAUUAGCUAGUUGGUAAGUUCACGGCUUAUCAAGGCAACGAUGCAUAGCCGACCUGAGAGGGUGAUAGGCCGCACUGGAACUGGGACACGGUCCAGGCUCCUACGAGACGCAGCAGACGGGUAUCGUCCGCAAUAGGCGAAAGCCUGGCGGAGCAGCGCGGAGUCAGUGAUGAAGGUCUUCGGAUCGUGAAACUCUGUUAUUAGUGAAGAACCUAUGUGUAAGUAGAUGUGCAGAUCUUGACGGUACCUAAUAAGAAAGCAACGGCUAACUACGUG
rnacentral:rRNA from 1 species